AAUCAACGCUGGCGGCGUGCCUCAGACAUGCAAGUCGAACGAUUAAACUUUCCUUCGGGAAAGAUAUAAAGUGGCGCACGGGUGAGUAACACGUAGGUAAUGUACCUUUGGGUGGGGAAUAACCAUCGGAAACGAUGGCUAAUACCGCAUAAUGCAGCGGCAUCGCAAGAUGACAGUUGUUAAAGAUUUAUCGCCUAAAGAGCAGCCUGCGGCAGAUUAGGUAGNGGUAAGGUAAUGGCUUACCAAGCCUGCGAUCUGUAACCGACCUGAGAGGGUGGUCGGUCACACUGACACUGAAUAACGGGUCAGACUCCUACGGGAGGCAGCAGUCGGGAAUUUUGGGCAAUGGGCGAAAGCCUGACCCAGCAACGCCGCGUGAAGGACGAAGUCUUUC
rnacentral:rRNA from 1 species